rnacentral:rRNA from 1 species
UACAGAGGGUGCAAGCGUUGCUCGGAAUUAUUGGGCGUAAAGGGUAGGUAGGUGGUCUCAUUUGUCUGGGGUGAAAGCCUUGAGCUUAACUCAAGAAGUGCCCCAGAAACGGUGAGACUAGAGUCCUGGAGAGGGUCGUGGAAUUCCCGGUGUAGCGGUGAAAUGCGUAGAGAUCGGGAGGAACACCAGAGGCGAAAGCGGCGACCUGGACAGGUACUGACACUCAACUACGAAAGCGUGGGGAGCAAACAGG